CUCGUGUCGAAAGUCUACUGUUAGGAGAGUAAUAUGAGACGCCAAUGCUUUAGGAUUAUUCUUUUUUUCUCUUCCUUCGACGCAAAAACACACACAAGGCAUAGCAAUCAUCAUGUUCUCUCCCCUCUGCUUGCCUUCAUCAUUAGAGGCUGGCUUUCAUCAUCACCACCGCAUCUUUUACCUCCCACCAACCGCACCAAAGCCAUCAUCCUCCGCCUCUAACAUCGCCACAACAAGAAAGAGAAAGAAGGAGAGAGAGAAGGGUUAGAAGGCGAAGAAGAUGGCUUCACUCAAGAAGAAGAAACCCUACCCGCUUCCAUUUCCUUUCCACUGCAACCCUCUACUCUUCUGAUCCAAGGGUCCUCUUCUUCUUCCAACCUUCUCAUGCAUGCUACUUUCUUCUCUUCUCCGGGAAUUGAAGCGUCGCGGUCCGAUUGUUUGCUAGAUCAAGCAAAUUAACCUACAUAUACUGUGAGCAGUGUCACUUUGUGCCUUCUUGUAAAUUCGAGGUGGAGACUGAGCUAUGCUGUUGCUUCAAUUCAAGUUUCUGAAUACAGUUGGUGGUAUAGAUCUGGAUUUCCUUAUAUAUGUAUGAUAAUAAAUGUUGUUCUUCAUGAGAAUAACACAUGUUUGAUUGUUCCAAACUAUGUUACUUUGUGUAUUGUUAUAAGUUUUAGACUUUAAUGUUAAUGACCCCAGUCAUCAUC